AGCGAACGCUGGCGGCAGGCCUAACACAUGCAAGUCGAACGAACCCUUCGGGGUUAGUGGCGGACGGGUGAGUAACACGUGGGAACGUGCCUUUAGGUUCGGAAUAGCUCAGGGAAACUUGUGCUAAUACCGAAUGUGCCCUUCGGGGGAAAGAUUUAUCGCCUUUAGAGCAGCCCGCGUCUGAUUAGCUAGUUGGUGAGGUAAUGGCUCACCAAGGCUACGAUCAGUAGCUGGUCUGAGAGGAUGACCAGCCACAUUGGGACUGAGACACGGCCCAAACUCCUACGGGAGGCAGCAGUGGGGAAUCUUGCGCAAUGGGCGAAAGCCUGGCGCAGCCAUGCCGCGUGGAUGAUGAAGGUCUUAGGAUUGUAAAAUCCUUUCACCGGUGAAGAUAAUGACUGUAGCCGGAGAAGAAGCCCCGGCUAACUUCGUGCCAGCCGCCGCAGUAAAAC
rnacentral:rRNA from 1 species